GACGAACGCUGGCGGCGCGCUUAACACAUGCAAGUCGAGCGAUGAAACUUUAACAGAACCCUUCGGGGCGAAGAUAAAGUGGAUUAGCGGCGGACGGGUGAGUAACACGUGAGUAACCUGCUUUAGACAUUGGGAUAGCCUCGGGAAACCGGGAUUAAUACCAAAUAAAAUCAUAAUGACACAUGUCAUAACGAUCAAAACUCCGGUGGUCUAAGAUGGACUCGCGUCCCAUUAGCUAGUUGGUAGAGUAAAAGCCUACCAAGGCGACGAUGGGUAGCCGGCCUGAGAGGGUGAACGGCCACAUUGGAACUGAGAAACGGUCCAAACUCCUACGGGAGGCAGCAGUGGGGAAUAUUGCACAAUGGAGGGAACUCUGAUGCAGCGACGCCGCGUGAACGAAGAAGGCUUUCGAGUCGUAAAGUUCUUUUAUAUGGGAAGAUAAUGACGGUACCAUAAGAAAAAGCCCCGGCUAACUACGUG
rnacentral:rRNA from 1 species